CCAAUAGCGUAUAUUAAAGUUGUUGCAGUUAAAAAGCUCGUAGUUGAACCUCGGGAUCAAUUGAUUGGUCAUGCCAUUGGUAUGUACUGGUCAUAUUGGUUCUCACCUUCUAAGGAACCUUAAUGUCAUUAAUUUGAUGUUUUGGGGAAUUAGGACUGUUACCUUGAAGAAAUUAGAGUGUUUAAAGCAGGCUAACGCUUGAAUACAUUAGCAUGGAAUAAUGAAAUAGGACAUCGCAUUCUAUUUUGUUGGUUUCUAGGAUCGAUGUAAUGAUUAAUAGGGAUAGUUGGGGGCAUUAGUAUUCAAUUGUCAGAGGUGAAAUUCUUGGAUUUAUUGAAGACUAACUACUGCGAAAGCAUUUGCCAAGGAUGUUUUCAUUAAUCAAGAACGAAAGUUAGGGGAUCGAAGACGAUCAGAUACCGUCGUAGUCUUAACCAUAAACUAUGCCGACUAGGGAUCGGAUGAUGUUGAUUUUUUAAUGACUCAUUCGGCACCUUACG
rnacentral:rRNA from 1 species